UACGUAGGGGGCAAGCGUUGUCCGGAUUUAUUGGGCGUAAAGAGCGUGUAGGCGGCCAGGUAGGUCCGCUGUGAAAACUCGAGGCUCAACCUCGAGAUGUCGGCUGAAACCAUCUGGCUAGAGUCCGGAAGAGGAGAGUGGAAUUCCUGGUGUAGCGGUGAAAUGCGCAGAUAUCAGGAAGAACACCCGUGGCGAAGGCGGCUCUCUGGGACGGUACUGACGCUGAGACGCGAAAGCGUGGGGAGCGAACAGG
rnacentral:rRNA from 1 species